CGCAUCUGUGCAUGCAGCAUAUCAAUAAGCGGAGGAAAAGAAACUAACAAGGAUUCCCCUAGUAACGGCGAGUGAAGCGGGAAGAGCUCAAAUUUGAAAUCUUAAAGGGUUUCCCUUUACGAAUUGUAGUUUAAAGAAGUGUUUUCUGUUGAGGUUUUGGUAAAAGUUCUUUGGAAUAGGACAUCAUAGAGGGUGAGAAUCCCGUAUUUGACCUUUACUUUCAACUUUGUGAUACACUUUCAAAGAGUCGGAUUGUUUGGGAAUGCAGUCCAAAAUGGGUGGUAAAUUUCAUCUAAAGCUAAAUAUUGGCGAGAGACCGAUAGCGGACAAGUACCGUGAGGGAAAGAUGAAAAGAACUUUGAAAAGAGAGUUAAACAGUACGUGAAAUUGUCAAAAGGGAAGCGUUUGACACCAGUGUUGUUUUUCUGAAAAUCAAUUAAAGAACUGUUUAUGCUAAGCUGUUUAGACUUUAUCAGCUAUACUGUUUAGUUUUGAGCUUUUCUCUAAUGCACUUUUCAGUUAACAAGUCAACAUCAAUUUCUUUUGCUGUAAAAAAGCUUGAGGAAGGUGGCUUGAGAUUCGUCUUAAGUGUUUAUAGCCUCUUGCCUAUGCAGUCGGAGAGAUUGAGGUCUGCAGCGUAGAUCCUUCGGGGCUAAAUGCAUUUGUGCUAAGUUAUAGCAUUUUAUAGACAACUUGUUGACUAUGAUUUGUCUUGUAGCUUACUCGCUUAUGUUAUUUUACCUACGCUUAGGAUGUUGAGUCGUAGAGCACGCAG
rnacentral:rRNA from 1 species